rnacentral:rRNA from 1 species
UACGAAGGGGGCUAGCGUUGCUCGGAAUGACUGGGCGUAAAGGGCGCGUAGGCGGAUUGUACAGUCAGGCGUGAAAUUCCCGGGCUCAACCUGGGGCUGCGCUUGAGACGUGCGAUCUUGAGUGGGGAAGAGGGUCGUGAAUUCCCAGUGUAGAGGUGAAAUUCGUAGAUAUUGGGAAGAACACCGGUGGCGAAGGCGGCGACCUGGUCCUUUUACUGACGCUGAGACGCGAAAGCGUGGGUAGCAACAGG